rnacentral:rRNA from 1 species
AACGAACGCUGGCGGCAUGCCUAACACAUGCAAGUCGAACGAGACCUUCGGGACUAGUGGCGCACGGGUGCGUCACGCGUGGGAACCUUCCGUUAGGCUCGGAAUAACUCUCCGACGGGGGUGAUAACACCGGAUAAUGUCCUCGGACCAAAGAUUUGUCGACCUUGGAUGGGCACGCGUUGGUUUAGCCUGUUGGUAGGGAAAAAGCCUACCAAGGCGUGGCUACAUAGCUGGUCUGUGAGGAUGAUCAGCCACACUGGGACUGGGACCCGGUCGGGACUCCUACGGGAGGGGGCAGUGGGGGAUAUUGGACAAUCGGCGAAGGGCUGAUCCAGCAAUGCCGCGUGAGUGAUGAAGGCCUGAGGGAUGUAAAGCUCUUUUACCCGGGAUGAUAAUGACAGUACCGGGAGAAUAAGCUCCGGCUAACUCCGUG